AGGGAUGUUAUAUGGGGCUUAUUUUCCUGAUAUUGUGAAGGAAAAACUUAAAGAUGAUCUGAAGAAAAUCAGAUAGGGAGAUCAAAUUGUUCAGGAGUACACGAGAGAGUUUGUCCGAGUUCUAAACUGUGUACCUUUUGUAGCACGGGAUGAGCGGCAUAAGGCAUAUUUAUUUGAGAGAGGGCUACGGCCAGAUAUUUAUCAGUUUGUAUAACCGCAACAACUUUGGACUUUGGAUGAGGUGAUUGAGAUAGCUUUAUGGGUUGAGAGAGGUACGGUAGUAAUGAAGGAGCAGACUGAAAUAUAGAAAAGGGAGAAGGAGAUGAAGAGACCGGCAGAAAAUAGCAGGGAGUAGUCUGGUUCGAGGAUACCGCCAAAGUAUUCAU
rnacentral:lncRNA from 1 species